UACGUAGGGGGCUAGCGUUGUCCGGAAUCAUUGGGCGUAAAGCGCGUGUAGGCGGUCCGGUAAGUCCGCUGUGAAAGUCGAGGGCUCAACCUCGAAUGCCGGUGGAUACUGUCGGGCUUGAGUACGGGAGAGGCGACUGGAAUUCCUGGUGUAGCGGUGAAAUGCGCAGAUAUCAGGAGGAACACCGGUGGCGAAGGCGGGUCUCUGGGCCGAAACUGACGCUGAGGAGCGAAAGCGUGGGGAGCAAACAGG
rnacentral:rRNA from 1 species